GACGAACGCUGGCGGCGUGCCUAAUACAUGCAAGUCGAACGCACUCUCGUUUAGAUUGAAGGAGCUUGCUCCUGAUUGAUAAACAUUUGAGUGAGUGGCGGACGGGUGAGUAACACGUGGGUAACCUGCCCUAAAGUGGGGGAUAACAUUUGGAAACAGAUGCUAAUACCGCAUAAAACCUAACACCGCAUGGUGUAGGGUUGAAAGAUGGUUUCGGCUAUCACUUUAGGAUGGACCCCGCGGUGCAUUAGUUAGUUGGUGAGGUAAAGGCUCACCAAGACCGUGAUGCAUAGCCGACCUGAGAGGGUAAUCGGCCACACUGGGACUGAGACACGGCCCAGACUCCUUACGGGAGGCAGCAGUAGGG
rnacentral:rRNA from 1 species